CCGCCCCUGAUCUUAUACAUUAUAUUCUAUAAAUUCUACAUAUGACACACAAGGCUCGCCGAUGUCCAGGGCCGGACCGGCAAUAACGCAGCAGCCGCUGGAUGAAUAAGUGCAGCCGGCGGCGUGAUAUGCCCGGCCAUGCGCUACCUUUCUAUGCCAAUGGCAGAUCGGGUGAGCGCGUGUUUCCGUCAGCCAGCGGCCAACCGGCCAAUCAGACCCGUUCAGCCGGCCGGCUAGUCGCCCAUCUCGUCUUAGAUUCGGGAAGCCUAUCCCAUGUAUGUUUAAAUUCCCUCAAUGUAUUAACCUCUACCACUUCCGCUGGGAGUCUGUUCCACGUAUCUACCAAUCACAUAGUAAAGUAAAAGAGUAACAGAGAUUUUUAGUUCAGUAAAGCCAGUCACAUUUGCAACUUACAUAAACGGGGGCAACAUAAUAAUGCAAAUUGUAUUUAUUUUGUUGUAUAACAGACAGCUUGCUCUAGAUGCUAAUUUACUAUCCAGAUGCAGAAAAUGUUUGUUAUCACAGGUAUU